rnacentral:rRNA from 1 species
UACAGAGGGUGCGAGCGUUGUCCGGAAUCACUGGGCGUAAAGGGCGCGUAGGCGGCUUGAUAAGGUUGCGGUGAAAGCCCGGGGCUCAACCCCGGGUCGGCCGUGGCAACUGUCGAGCUGGAGCACUGUAGAGGCAGGUGGAAUUCCGGGUGUAGCGGUGGAAUGCGUAGAGAUCCGGAAGAACACCGGUGGCGAAGGCGGCCUGCUGGGCAGUGGCUGACGCUGAGGCGCGAAAGCGUGGGGAGCGAACAGG